AUUGAACGCUGGCGGCAGGCCUAACACAUGCAAGUCGAGCGAGCGGCGGACGGGUGAGAAAAGUCUGGGAAACUGCCUGUUGGAGGGGGAUAUCUACUGGAAACGGUAGCUAAUACCGCAUACCACCUGAUGUGCCCAGAUGGGAUUUGCUCGUAGGUGGGGUAACGGCUCACCUAGGCGACGCUCCCUAGCUGGUCUGAGAGGAUGACCAGCCAGACGGGAACGGAGACACGGUCCAGACUCCUACGGGAGGCAGCAGUGGGGAAUAUUGCACAAUGGGCGCAAGCCGGAUGCAGCCAUGCCGCGUGUGUGAAGAAGGCCUUCGGGUUGUAAAGCACUUUCAGCGGGGAGGCGUUACCCGCAGAAGAAGCACCGGCUAACUCCGUGCCAGCAGCCGCGGUAAUAC
rnacentral:rRNA from 1 species